rnacentral:rRNA from 1 species
GACGAACGCUGGCGGCGCGCUUAAUACAUGCAAGUCGAACGAGAAGCCAGAGCUUGCUCUGGUGGAAAGUGGCGAACGGGUGAGUAACACGUGAGAAACCUGCCCCAAAGAUUGGGAUAAGCCUUGGAAACGAGGUCUAAUACCAAAUACCUUCUUUUUAACACAUGUUAAAAAGAAGAAAUGCUCCGGCGCUUUGGGAUGGUCUCGCGAUCUAUCAGCUUGUUGGUGAGGUAACGGCUCACCAAGGCAUCGACGGAUAGCUGGUCUGAGAGGAUGUCCAGCCACAUUGGAACUGAGACACGGUCCAAACUCCUACGGGAGGCAGCAGUAGGGAAUCUUGCACAAUGAGGGAAACCUUGAUGCAGCGACGCCGCGUGCGGGACGAAGGCCCUAGGGUUGUAAACCGCUUUCAGUAGGGACGAAAGUGACGGUACCUACAGAAGAAGCCCCGGCCAACUAUGUGCCAGCAGCCGCGGUAA